rnacentral:tRNA from 1 species
UAGCUCAAUUGGUAGAGCAGCUCCCUUUUAAGGAGAAGGUUCCGAGUUCGAUUCUCGG